GAAACGACACUAACAAUCCUUCGGGUGCGUUAAUGGGCGUCGAGCGGCGGACGGGUGAGUAAUGCUUGGGAAUAUGCCUUUAGGUGGGGGACAACAGUUGGAAACGACUGCUAAUACCGCAUAAUGUCUACGGACCAAAGGAGGGGAUCUUCGGACCUUUCGCCAUUUGAUUAGCCCAAGUGAGAUUAGCUAGUUGGUAAGGUAAUGGCUUACCAAGGCGACGAUCUCUAGCUGGUUUGAGAGGAUGAUC
rnacentral:rRNA from 1 species